GAAUCUCGGACUGACUUCAUUUCUCUCCAGUCUCCCAUGUCAGAGGUGCUCUACGAAGACCGAAUAAGGACGCCAAGAGUAAGGACACACAACCAAACCGACUUGAGGGUUCCUUUCCCGAAGGCCUGAGGCAGUGCAUCAUGGGAAAGGGUACCAGCGAUGACUGGGACGAGAAACAUCCGGACACGCGGCAGACGCAGCCGGAGAAAACAGCCAGUAAGAAGUCGGAUGGCGAACAGACCGGCUGCAUGAGGUGUUGCAUGGGAACCAGGAAGUGUUUGAUGAGUAACGAGUGUGGCAGGGCCCUGAACAUCUCCAGCGUCAUCGCCAUGUGUGGCAUGUGUAUUGGCAUGUGGACAUAAUCCCACCCUGGAUAAAAGGACCAAAUUUUCACAAAGGACAAGCAUAUUCUCCCACUCCACCAGGCAGAACAAUUAAACGCUCUAAUGCAUUUUGACAUGCUUGUUCUCAUUUCAAGGUUAUCUGCGGAUUGAUGUAAAUAAUAAGCCCUUAAUCAGAAGUUAGAUCACACCAAAGCUAGGUUUAGGAAACACAUUUAUCAUUGGGUACAUUUUCAGGUCACAACGCUCCAUUGCUAGCUUCCGAUGGUGGUUGAUACCUGGGUUUGUAUCUUUGGCAGGUCAGGAUGGUGCUCCAUGAAAUCUACAUACACAAACCUACAUACAACAAAAUAAUGAUGCAAUAGGAUACAAAAAACAUUUGGAUCGGGCAUGACAAUCAAUGCACAACCAUAAUGACAUUUACUUUAAACAGGUCUUUUGUUUGUUUAUGUAUUUGAAAGUAUUUUUUGCUUCCCUCUGGAAAAUGAGUGUCAAACAUCCGUGUUGGUAUCCACACCCCCUUUCCCCCACUGUGACGCAUUGUGUUGCCUCCUGGUUUGAAAUGCACUAUGUAAAUAAAGUUGGAUUUGCUUUGA